rnacentral:rRNA from 1 species
AUUGAACGCUGGCGGCAGGCCUAACACAUGCAAGUCGAGCGGAUGAAGGGAGCUUGCUCCUGGAUUCAGCGGCGGACGGGUGAGUAAUGCCUAGGAAUCUGCCUGGUAGUGGGGGAUAACGUCCGGAAACGGGCGCUAAUACCGCAUACGUCCUGAGGGAGAAAGUGGGGGAUCUUCGGACCUCACGCUAUCAGAUGAGCCUAGGUCGGAUUAGCUAGUUGGUGGGGUAAAGGCCUACCAAGGCGACGAUCCGUAACUGGUCUGAGAGGAUGAUCAGUCACACUGGAACUGGGACACGGUCCAGACUCCUACGGGAGGCAGCAGCGGGGAAUAUUGGACAAUGGGCGAAAGCCUGAUCCAGCCAUGCCGCGUGUGUGAAGAAGGUCUUCGGAUUGUAAAGCACUUUAAGUUGGGAGGAAGGGCAGUAAGUUAAUACCUUGCGGUUUUGACGUUACCAACAGAAUAAGCACCGGCUAACUUCGUG